rnacentral:misc_RNA from 1 species
GAUGAAGAACGUAGCGAAAUGCGAUAAGUAGUGUGAAUUGCAGAAUUCAGUGAAUCAUCGAAUCUUUGAACGCAAAUUGCGCCCCUUGGUAUUCCGAGGGGCAUGCCUGUUCGAGCGUCAUUUCAACCCCUCAAGCUUCGGCUUGGUGUUGGGCCGCGCCGCUGCACCAGCAGCUGGCGGGCCUCAAAAUCAGUGGCGGUGCCGUCUCGGCUCUAAGCGUAGUAACAUCUCUCGCUCUGGAGACCUGGCGGUGGCUUGCCAGACAACCCCCAACUUUCUUUAAGGUUUGACCUCGGAUCAGGUAGGGAUACCCGCUGAACUUAAGCAUAUCAAUAAGCGGAGGA